GGAGAGGUGGCCGAGUGGCUUAAGGCGCACGCUUGGAAAGUGUGUAUGCAGGUGACUGUAUCGGGGGUUCGAAUCCCUUCCUCUCCG
rnacentral:tRNA from 1 species